UAACCCUACGGGAGGCAGCAGUGGGGGAUAUUGCACAAUGGGGGAAACCCUGAUGCAGCGACGCCGCGUGAGCGAUGAAGUAUUUCGGUAUGUAAAGCUCUAUCAGCAGGGAAGAAGAUGACGGUACCUGACUAAGAAGCCCCGGCUAACUACGUGCCAGCAGCCACGGUAAUACGUAGGGGGCAAGCGUUAUCCGGAUUUACUGGGUGUAAAGGGAGCGUAGACGGCAGUGCAAGUCUGAAGUGAAAGGCAAGGGCUCAACCAUUGGACUGCUUUGGAAACUGUGCUGGUCGAGUGUCGGGGAG
rnacentral:rRNA from 1 species